UGUAGAUUUCCCCCAGUUCUGUCCCAAGGCUCUGUCUUGUUCAGUUUUAGUACGUAGACCCUACCUGAGUUCACAGCCUUCGAAACACAAGAAGCACCAAGAGCCAUGUGCCCUUCUGGACUCGAGAAACCUGCAUAAUAAGCUUAUGGAUUUAUGCAGCUUCUGGGAUUUCUGCCACAGCCCGUAAACUUGUAAUGCAUCAAUUGAGAACACCACCUUGGACAUUCAGCUUCAAAAGCCACAAAGGAAGAUGUUGGCCUCUUCGACUACAGGAUUUAUAAAUACCUGCAGGAUUAACCGGACGAUCUAAUUUGCAUUGUCUGGCCACAAUCUCAUGAUUCAUGUGAAGUGGCUGCUUGAAUGCCAACAUUUUCAACUCAAACAUUAACAUUUAGAGUAAAAUAAAACCAAACAGCCCAAGGUCUUUUGCUAGUUAUUUCUUUUUAAUUUCCUCCCGC
rnacentral:lncRNA from 1 species